AAUGAAAUGGAGCUUUCUGAACCCCUUUUAUGAUUAUAACUUUUCCCUUCUUUUUCUUUUCUUUUUGGUGUAUUUAUUUUGAACAUUCAAAAUUUUUACAUUCAGGAAAUGGUAGUUUAUUACACCUUUCUUCAAGGCUACCUUAUUUUGUCUGUUGGUUCUGAGGAUGAAGAUUUGCAUUGCACAAGCAGAGUUGCAAAAAUAAUCGUUGUUAAUGCUCUCUCACAACUGAUUUCAAAAUAUUUCACCCCAUGAUGUACUUUGCAUCAAAAUUAUGAAGGUUCUAGUCAAACUUC
rnacentral:misc_RNA from 1 species